ACGGCUCAGUAACACGUGGACAACCUACCCUUGGGACCAGUAUAAUCCUGGGAAACUGGGCAUAAUGCUGGAUAGGUCACAAUUGCUGGAAUGCAUUGUGACUCAAAGCUCCGGCGCCCAAGGAUGGGUCUGCGGCCUAUCAGGGUAGUAGUGGGUGUAAUGUACCUACUAGCCUACGACGGGUACGGGUUGUGAGAGCAAGAGCCCGGAGAUGGAUUCUGAGACACGAAUCCAGGCCCUACGGGGUGCAGCAGGCGCGAAAACUUUACAAUGCGGGAAACCGUGAUAAGGGGAUCUCGAGUGCCAGCAUAUAAUGUUGGCUGUCCAGAUGCUUAAAAAGCAUUUGUUAGCAAGGGCCGGGCAAGACCGGUGCCAGCCGCCGCGGUAACACCGGCGGCCCGAGUGGUAACCGUUAUUAUUGGGUCUAAAGGGUCUGUAGCCGGCCAAGUAAGUCCUUUGGGAAAUCUGGUAGCUCAACUAUCAGGCUGCCAGGGGAUACUGCUUGGCUUGGGACCGGGAGAGGUGAGAGGUACCUCAGGGGUAGGGGUGAAAUCUUGUGAUCCUUGAGGGACCACCAGUGGCGAAGGCGUCUCACCAGAACGGGUCCGACGGUAAGGGACGAAAGCUAGGGGCACGAACCGGAUUAGAUACCCGGGUAGUCCUAGCCGUAAACGAUGCUCGCUAGGUGUCAGUCACGGUGCGACCGUGAUUGGUGCCGUAGGGAAGCCGUGAAGCGAGCCACCUGGGAAGUAUGGCCGCAAGGCUGAAACUUAAAGGAAUUGGCGGGGGAG
rnacentral:rRNA from 1 species